rnacentral:tRNA from 1 species
UUGAUCGAAACCAAAAAGAGGUAUAUUAUUGUUAAUAAUAAAACAGAAUCAAAUAUCCGCUCAAA